GAUCAUGGCUCAGGAUGAACGCUAGCGGCAGGCCUAACACAUGCAAGUCGAGGGGCAUCGGGAUUGAAGCUUGCUUCAAUUGCCGGCGACCGGCGCACGGGUGCGUAACGCGUAUGUAACCUACCUAUAACAGGGGCAUAACACUGAGAAAUUGGUACUAAUUCCCCACUAAUAUUCGGAGAGGCAUCUCUCCGGGUUGGAAAACUACCGGUGGUUAUAGAUGGACAUGCGUUGUAUUAG
rnacentral:rRNA from 1 species